GAACGGCAGCACAGAGGAGCUUGCUCCUUGGGUGGCGAGUGGCGGACGGGUGAGGAAUACAUCGGAAUCUACUCUGUCGUGGGGGAUAACGUAGGGAAACUUACGCUAAUACCGCAUACGACCUACGGGUGAAAGCAGGGGAUCUUCGGACCUUGCGCGAUUGAAUGAGCCGAUGUCGGAUUAGCUAGUUGGCGGGGUAAAGGCCCACCAAGGCGACGAUCCGUAGCUGGUCUGAGAGGAUGAUCAGCCACACUGGAACUGAGACACGGUCCAGACUCCUACGGGAGGCAGCAGUGGGGAAUAUUGGACAAUGGGCGCAAGCCUGAUCCAGCCAUACCGCGUGGGUGAAGAAGGCCUUCGGGUUGUAAAGCCCUUUUGUUGGGAAAGAAAUCCAGCUGGCUAAUACCCGGUUGGGAUGACGGUACCCAAAGAAUAAGCACCGGCUAACUUCGUGCCAGCAGCCGCGGUAAUACGAAGGGUGCAAGCGUUACUCGGAAUUACUGGGCGUAAAGCGUGCGUAGGUGGUCGUUUAAGUCCGUUGUGAAAGCCCUGGGCUCAACCUGGGAACUGCAGUGGAUACUGGGCGACUAGAGUGUGGUAGAGGGUAGCGGAAUUCCUGGUGUAGCAGUGAAAUGCGUAGAGAUCAGGAGGAACAUCCAUGGCGAAGGCAG
rnacentral:rRNA from 2 species